rnacentral:rRNA from 1 species
UACGGAGGGUGCAAGCGUUAUCCGGAUUUACUGGGUUUAAAGGGUGCGUAGGUGGGUAGGUAAGUCAGUGGUGAAAUCUUCAAGCUUAACUUGGAAACUGCCAUUGAUACUAUUUAUCCUGAAUACUUUGGAGGUAAGCGGAAUAUGUCAUGUAGCGGUGAAAUGCUUAGAUAUGACAUAGAACACCAAUUGCGAAGGCAGCUUACUACACAGUAAUUGACACUGAGGCACGAAAGCGUGGGGAUCAAACAGG